UUCUGCCCCACUCUGUGUGACUUCCUCCCUAUGCAGACGAAACAACUGGAUCAAUUGCACAAACUGUAGUAUGAACAUUAUGUGCUUAUGAACUUUUCCAAGGGAGCCUGGAGGGGCUUGAUAUCUGGAAUUUUGAAUCUUCAGCUACUGAUACGCCUCUGCCUGAAGGCCUCCAUGUAGCUUGUCUGCAUUAGCGAUACUGUGCAGGUUCUACAGGUAUUGUUAUAUACAGUGCAGCUGGAAAUAUCAGUAGAGCCUUUGGAUGGCAAGAAAGAAACAGCUCAAUGCUAAUCAUUGUGACAAAGGCAAAAUGACUGGGGUCUGUCCCCAUAAUAAUGACUAGCAGUAAGGUUGGCGGGGACUGAGUGUGUCGCAACAGUUACUCUACUUCUGAACAGUACUGCAGCUCCUGGUGAUUGAUUGAUUAAAUAAUGCCUUUGGAAGGGUUCCAGAGGGAAGCAUGUCUGUUACGUGCCUGGAUGCUCUGCAAGGAUGAGGCCCACACACACAGGAGAAAAAAUUCUGUCAGAACAUUGCAGUUCCAUUGAGAAGAAUCAGUGAAACCCAGAUAUUUCCUGAACUGUGGACUCUGAGUCACUGCCUUGAAAUGACUUGGGGAAGAUUGUCAACUCAGAGAAGGCAGAAGGGGAAAGAAUAAAGGUGCUUCUAGUGCCUGGUGGAGAUUGGGGAGAAGAUUGAUCGAAAAAGGAUCAAGGAGAAGAUCAAAUAGGUCUGGAGAAGGCCCAGAGGGAACUGGAGAAUUUGGGAUGUCAGUUUAGCCUGCUUUCAUUCCUUUUCCUUUCUUGCAGACAAGGAAAAAUAACUUCCAAUGAAUUUAGACUACUUCCUAGUAAAGAAAAGUGUUCUCAUUUAGCAUGUGGACCAUAAAUGUACCAAAAUCUUUCAAGCUGCUCCUGUUGUGAAAUAAAUUUUGCAAAUCUAAUGGAGCAUUUUGAAAAUAUUAAAUUGCCUCUUAUUGAAGACAUUCAA